GAUCCUGGUUCAGGAUGAACGCUAGCUACAGGCUUAACACAUGCAAGUCGAGGGGCAGCAUGGUCUUAGCUUGCUAAGACUGAUGGCGACCGGCGCACGGGUGAGUAACACGUAUCCAACCUGCCGUCUACUCUUGGACAGCCUUCUGAAAGGAAGAUUAAUACAAGAUGGCAUCAUGAGUCCGCAUGUUCACAUGUAAAGUUAAAGGUUACGUUCCGGUAAGACGAGGU
rnacentral:rRNA from 1 species